rnacentral:rRNA from 1 species
CUGGCUGCAACUGUUUAAUAAAAACACAGCACUGUGCAAACACGAAAGUGGACGUAUACGGUGUGACGCCUGCCCGGUGCUGGAAGGUUAAUUGAUGGGGUCAGCCGCAAGGCGAAGCUCUUGAUCGAAGCCCCAGUAAACGGCGGCCGUAACUAUAACGGUCCUAAGGUAGCGAAAUUCCUUGUCGGGUAAGUUCCGACCUGCACGAAUGGCGUAAUGAUGGCCAGGCUGUCUCCACCCGAGACUCAGUGAAAUUGAACUCGCUGUGAAGAUGCAGUGUACCCGCGGCAAGACGGAAAGACCCCGUGAACCUUUACUAUAGCUUGACACUGAACAUUGAGCCUUGAUGUGUAGGAUAGGUGGGAGGCAUAGAAGUGU